GAAGUUUAAAACUUAUCUGACAAAUUCAUUAUUGAUAAAACAGUCCAUGAAUUCUAAUGCUGGAUGUUAUAUUCUUAACCAUAUUGGUGUUUAAAUGUUUAGAAAAUCAAACAUCAAUAUGUUUUCAUAUGCAAGUAAAAGUACAGUAUAUGGGAUAUGAAAAAAAUAUAAAGCAAAACUCAAGGAAUAAACAGUUCACUUAAAAACUGCAAAACAUCACACUAUGAAAGAAUAUCUUAAAAAAUCGGUUUCAAUCCAAGGAUUGAAUCCAGAGGUCAAGAAAACACUCCCAUCAUCAAAGAAGUCUGAUGAACAGCCAACUUAUUUAAAUUCUGAAUUCUUGGCUGCUAGUGACAACACCUUAAAUGAUACUAAUAAAACAAGACCCCUACCACCACAGGUGAAAAGUAUAAAGGAGAGAUAUGAAGACAAAGAGAAACAAGCAAAGAUUGAUCCUAAAGAUGUUGUCCUUGCAAGCAAAAAGAAGGUUGAGAAGCCACUAGAAGCUGAAGAUGAGAUGUACGAACCAUUGAACAUAGAGGAGAAAUAUGAAGAUACAACAGGGGUUUCUAGCAAAAAAGGAUUUCCAGAUUAUUACAACAUUGGGAAUAAGACAACAUCUGUUCCCAAGGACACAAACAAAACAGCACUGAUGGAUGAUAAUAAACCAAAUAACAAUAACAGAGACAGUGAUGAUUCUGAUACUGAUUAUGAAGGUGAAAUAUAUGAAGGCAUAGGGGAGAUUCAACCUGCUGAACCAACUGAGCACCAAACCUUAAACAACUUGGUGAAACAACCAGUGGCAAUAGUAAAGCAUAUAACACAAAGCUAUGAAAAUAAAGAGAGGAAAGCAAAGAUUAAUAGCAAAGAAGAGCUGGUGAAGCAAACAAAAGAUGAAACAGCUACUGCUCCUGUUGACAAAACUGGUGAGGUUAAUGAAGCCUUUGAACUGACUGGUAAUGAUGAACGCUACUCAACUGUACCAUCCCUUGAUAAAGUAAGUCUUCCAUUGAACAACCCAAACAAAGGCACUUUGCAGAAGUUUUUGAGCCAUACAUCUGUAUCGAUGCAGCCGACUGUAGGCAAUAAGCCAUGCUACAGACGUAGGGCAUGUAAAGUCAUCAUAGCUGUAGCACUUAUAAUGGUUCUAUGUGUGGGAUGCAUACUUAUUGGAAUGGCUAUAGCUGGAUUCUUCACAGAUGAUGAUGUUUUGACUGAUGUUUCCUCUGUGCCCAAUGAGACAACUACAGUGAGAAUGACAACUCCUCAGCCACAGGUGACUGAUUGCUCUGAUGUUUCCACACUGAAUGGUAACCUCUCAUUCAACAUAUCCAAACAGGUGUUCCACGUACGUUGUGAACAGGGCUGGACCAUAGUCAUCAGGAGAGAAGAUGGCUCUGUCAACUUCAACAGAAACUGGACUGACUACAAACAAGGCUUUGGUAACCUCAAUGGUGAGCAUUAUGUUGGGAAUGAAUUCCUACAUGUCUUUACACAUAUGAGUCCUUAUAUGUUGUAUAUUGAGCUACAGGACUGGGGAAACAUCACCAAAUAUGCUCAAUAUAAUACUUUCAUGAUUGGAUCUGAAUUGGACAAUUAUAGGCUACAUGUGGGGAAUUAUUCAGGUGAAGCAGGAGAUGGUUUUACUAUUGAGGGCCUUCAAGAGUCUUGGCCUUCUGUAGUCUUACACAAACUAUACCACAAUGACAUGCAGUUCUCAACAUAUGACAAAGAUAAUGAUAGGGAUGGACGUGAAAACUGUGCUGAAAAGGAAGAAGCAGGUUGGUGGUUUAAUGCCUGUUUGUCUUCGCUCCUUACUGGACCUUGGAGUGGAUCAGAAAAAUGUGAACCACAAGGAAGAUGCAUUCUAUGGGGGGCUGAAUAUUCUAAAGAUAUACGGUUAAAAGCUCUUCAAAAGGUCACAAUAAAAAUAAAACCAUUGGACUAAAUCUGACAUUAAUGUAUUCUUAGUUUGAACAAUAUACCAAAAUAUGGAUAAAUAUCAUCUGAAAAGGUUUUAAAAAUUAAUAUUUCCAGCAAUAAGCACUGCAGAGAACAAUCUCUUGCUAUAAUCUGUAUCUGUAGAUCCAAUGCAGAGUCAUUUGUUUUAUAAAAGAAAACAAUGCCCUCUCAUAACUUCGGACCUAAAAAUGCUCAGCCAUUUUUGCCGACCCACUGCCUAAAUGUAGUUAUUUUGAGAAAUUCGAAAAAAAUUCCAUAGCAACAAGAUAUUCAGGAAAGACCUAUUUCCAGCUUCAUUGAUGUCAUUAAUCGUUUUAUUACUUCUAUUACUUUUUUUUGAAUUGUAAAUACUAUACAAAUAUUGAAUUCUGUGGUGUUGAAUAUAUACACUGUAAAUUAUUCAACGAUCACAAUAUUGAUAUGAUAUGACGUUUACUUUCAAAGUAUUUCCAAACGUUUGCCAAUAUUCUGUUAUAAUUCAAGAUCUUCGUCACACCAUGGAUAAAAAUGAGAUUCUGAUAUUCCAUGUUAAAGUCCAUAGUCUUCGUGCUUUGAUUAGUUGACUUUUUGAAUACAUUUGUAAAAUCUUUAUCCCACGUUUGUUAUACAGUUUCGAACCUUUUCUUGGGAGGACUUCCUGAUACAACUUCACCGUCUGUCAUAUCAGAUGAAAUACUUUUUUAAUUACUAAAUUCCCGGGAAUUAAGUGAUGUGAUGUCAUUUAAAUUGAAUACAUAGUGGUAUUCACUUAAAAUGACGUCACUGCCGGUGAAUACACUCUUCACACGU
rnacentral:misc_RNA from 1 species